AGCACUGACCUCAUAGACUCUAAUUACUAAAACCAUUACAUCUGUAUUUAAAUGUAUGCUUACUUCUCAAAGUGUUGAGACCAGUAAGUGUACUAAGAAAGAAUGGAUAUGUUUAUGAAAAAAUUAAUAAACUGAAUUAGUUUU
rnacentral:misc_RNA from 1 species